CAUAGCAGUCUAUUGGAAACAAAGAACUAUAUUUUUAUGUGUGUGUUUAUGUACUUCUGAAUGAGCAAGUUUGAAUACUUUGUUAAUGAAAUGGAAAUAAUAAUGAAAUACUUUAUGAAUGUGAUUCAGAUGGAGUUCAGCUUCAUGAAGCCAUGGGAAAAUUAAGCAACAUAAUUUGAAUGGACCUUUCAUUCAUGUGCCUUUUCAUUGGAAUCAAGAAUGUACAAUGCAACCCUAAGGAUGUAAAUUGUACAAUGUGUAUCAAACAAGUCCCUACUUUAAGAUAAUCCAAUAAAGUGAUAUAUUUGUAAUAUCCUGAAGCUUUUCCAUUUUUAUACAUUUUUACAGGCCUGACUGUCAGUGAAUAUUUCCACUUGAGUGCCCACCACUUACUUUAAAAAGUUAAAAGAACGAUUUGGGCAAAACUUGUAAAAGUUAUGUGGAUAAAAUUUGAAGAGCACAUGAAAUUUAGCUAAGAAGAUUGAUUGGAAGAUAUUCUCUACCUUAUAACUUGUUUCCUUGCACAAAAGACUCCCUGGAGCGCCAAUGCACUCCCCUCCACACACCUAUCUGCUUUACAUGUAGCGUUGAUUCAUAUAAAAUGGCUAAGGCUUGAUUUCUCUUUUGUUAUUCAUUGUCAUGGUUGGGAAAAGUGAGGUGAUUCAAGUAUGAAAUGAAUUAUGAAAUGUAAAGCCCCUUUAACUGACAAAACUUAAUGAAAAAAAUCCUGGUGAUGUCUGGUGUUAACAUUAAUUUGUUUCAUGUUAUGUCAUCAGAUCUAGCUGGCACAAUAAAAAAAAAGGCAAGUUACCGUUAAACGGUUGUGCUUACCAUGGGUUAAAAUGUUAAUUUGGGUAGCAGAGUUGUUUCAAAAUUUUUAAUCUGUUUUAUUUCCACUGACUAAAAAAGCCAAAGAAAAGUAUUAGAAAAGAAUGAGUACUAUACUUUAUGUUUAGUAUACCUUUUGAUGAAGCAAUUGAACAUUUAUGUGUGUUGAGGUACAUACAUGUGUAUUACAGUGAUCAUAUGCUAAUUAUCAGAUGCAGGUAGGUGUUUCAUAAAGCUGUUUGUAAGAUACGAGUGACUUUACGAACAACUCACUUAAUUACCCUUUCGUAGGCGCUGAAUUAACUUCAAUGAAAAUUUUGUGUAUAUCACUUAUCACAAAAAAAAUAAUCACCAGUCGUUCAUAAAAUUGCUCGUAACGUACAAACAGCUUUAUGAAACACCCACCUGGAAUGUUUCCAUAAAUCUAUGUGAACGUGUAGUCAUGUACUACAAUCCCUUUAUUUCUUGGCAAUAUUGUUAAAGAGUGAAAUUAAUCAAUUUGAUAUAUAUAAACCCAUUUUGUUUCGAACAAUCAAAUUGUCAUGGUAAUGAUGUGGUAAUGGUUUAAGAUUCAUUUGAAGCUACAGAGUGUAUUGUAUAAUCUUGCACUUGACAAGAAAAUGAUCAUUAAAGGACAAGUCCACCCCAACAAACAAUUGAUUUGAAUAAAAAGAGAAAAAUUCAACAAGCAUAACACUGAAAAUUUCAUCAAAAUCGGAUGUAAAAUAAGAAAGUUAUGACAUUUUAAAUUUUCGCUUCAUUUCACAAAACAGUUAUAUGCACAUCUCGGUCGGUAUGCAAAUGAGGGAGCUGAUGACAUCACUCACUCACUAUUUCUUUUGUAUUCUAUUAUAUGAAAUAUGAAAUAUUUUGAUUUUCUCGUCAUUGUCAUGUGAAAUGAAGUUUCAUUCCUCACUGAACACGUGGAAUUCCAUUAUUUUAACAUUUUGUGCUUCAGGCAAGGAGGUCCUAAUCGUCAAAUUCGUAAAAAUUGAAAUAUUGUAUCAUUCAAACAAUAAAAAACAAAAGAAAUAGUGAGUGAGUGACAUCAUAGACUCUCUCAUUUAGAUGUAACUGGCUCGUUCAUAUAACUAUUUUGUUAAAAAUAAGCGAAACUUUGAAAUGUCAUAACUUUCUUAUUUUACAUCCGAUUUUGAUGAAAUUUUUAGCAUUGUGCUUGUCUGAUUUUGCUCUAUUGAUUCAAAUCAACAUUUUUCUGAGGUGGACUUGACCUUUAAACACAGAUAAACAACCCAAAACAUAAACAGCCAUACCAUGAGCUAAAUAUAGUUUAAAGCAUAGAGAGGGGUGGAUAGAGAGAGAAAGAGGGAGGGAGAAAGCAAUUGUAGACUUGUUACAAAAGUAAAAAUUCAACUUACAUGCAUGUGUCAGAGAAAAAUAAGUAUAUAUAAAUAUACAGGUGCAAUGACUGACUAUUGUAUUGAUGUCAACUAGGAAAUGUUCUCUGAAUCAGUUUGUUUACUCCAGUUAUAGGAUUUACUUACUGAUGAUGAUAUUUCUUAAGGGUCUAAGGUGAUGAUGAUGCUCAAUGAUGCUAAUGGUAAAGUUUAGAUUUAAAGUCAAGAAUCUGCAGUCAUUAUGAGGACAACUGCAUUUACUUUUGUGUGUUGUUUGUAUUUUCAAUGUUUAGUAUACUAUUCUAAUGAGCACUCAAGGGAGGUAUGAGUUGAAAUUUUGAAUAGAUUCAGCGGAAUUGAUUUAUUAUGCAAAUUAUUUCCAUGAUCCCAGAGAUCUGAUGUGUUGCAUAUAAUUAUACUGGUUAAAAGUUGAACACCUAAUCUAUCAAAAGUAUUUAAGUGCUCUACAAUAUGUUGAAUAAUAAUGAUAUAAUUGUUUAUGAUUAUAUAGCACUUAACAUUUACAUGUUAUCAGAAGUCAUACUGCUAGGCUUGGCAGAACAGCUGUGGUCAACCAAAAUGUUUUUAGAAUUCUGAUAACCAAAAUUGAUGUAAAAAGUCAUUGCAGACGGAUAAAGAUUAGCAAAUGGUUAGGAUGUAGACCUUGUAAAUGCAUGUCUGAUAUUCCUACCUGUCCUAUAUUGUGUGUCACAGUAUUGUAUUUAAUCAUUUAUUUUUUUCUAUUUCUAUUUUCGUUCAUUUGAUUUUAUUGUAAAUCUGAAUUUUGUAAGCUACCUAAAUAAAAUGUAGGUGAUUUCCUCACUUUCACUUACAUCCUUCAAAUCAAUGAUGAUGAUGAUAAUAAUCAUUUGAAUAAAUUAUUAAAUUAAUAUCAA